CUUCAUAGUAUCACUCCUUGAUGUAGCCAACAUAAGAAGUUCAGAAACAUGAAUUUCUAGCUUCCUUUUGUUCUCUUCAAGUUUGUCCCUAACUGAAAGAACUCUGUCCGUUUGAAUUUGCCUUUUCAGCUGAUUGAUUCUGUACUUUAGAGAUGCUGAAGAAUCCUCUUCAUUUUCUCCAUCGAACUUAGUGGGUGUGGGCGCAGAUUCAGCAGAGAUGGAGGUGGAGGAGAUCAUCAAGUCCUGUGUAGAUAAUCUUUCACAACAAUAGGGAAGUGAAGGAAUAGUUUUGAUGAAGAAGAGAGG
rnacentral:misc_RNA from 1 species